rnacentral:rRNA from 1 species
GGGGGUAACGGCCACCCAAGGCUUACGAUCGGUAGGGGUUCUGAGAGGAAGGCCCCCCACAAUGGGACUGAGACACGGCCCAUACUCCUACGGGAGGCAGCAGUGAGGAAUAUUGGUCAAUGGGCGGAAGCCUGAACCAGCCAUGCCGCGUGCGGGAAGGAGGCCCUAUGGGCUGUGAACCGCUUUUGCCUGGGGGCAAUAAGGGCGUCGCGCACGUCCGAUGAGAGUACCAGGCGAAUAAGCAUCGGCUAACUCCGUGCCAGCAGCCGCGGUAAUACGGGGGAUGCGAGCGUUAUCCGGAUUCAUUGGGUUUAAAGGGUGCGUAGGCUGUGCGUCAAGUCGGGGGUGAAAUUCCGGUGCUCAACACCGGGGCUGCCCUUGAUACUGUCGCGCUGGAGUGCGGAUGCCGCCGGAGGAAUGAGUGGUGUAGCGGUGAAAUGCUUAGAUAUCACUCAGAACACCGAUUGCGAAGGCAUCUGGCGAAUCCGUAACUGACGCUGAGGCACGAAAGCGUGGGGAUAGAACAGGAUUAGAUACCCUGGUAUUCCACGCCGUAAACGAUGAUGGCUAACCGCCGGCGACACACUGUCGGUGGCCAAGCGAAAGCGAUAAGCCAUCCACCUGGGGAGUA